AAAAUAAAUAAAAGAAAUAAGAAAAGUCUUUAGCAGAAAACAAAAUUCAGAUAAACCAUAAGUAAUAUGAAAAAAGAGAAAUGAAUAGAGGAUUUGGUGCACAGAAUAUACAACUCUCUCAUAUGAGGGUGGGGUUCACACAUGUGGAGUCCAUGUGGGAUCCAGUCUCGUAUGAGAGGGUUGUGCAUUUUAUGCACCAAAUUCUCCGUGCACCUAGUUUAUGAGAAAAAGUAACUGCUAGGAUUUUAUCCAAAUAAAUUCUUGUAUUUUGACAAUCCUGUUCUUGACAAAACAAUUGUUGUUUAUUGAUUAUUAAUUCAAGCAAUUGGUUAUAUUUUAUUGAAUUUUUAUCUUGAAGAAAAUACGUUUACAGAUUUGAUGUGAGGCGGAUUUGAUGCUGUCUAAACUUUGUGUAUAAAUCAGAGUUGAAAAAGUGGUGGUUUGUCUUUGGAUUUCAGAGUUGCAUCUUUAGAGAUUGAUCAAAGCAAAAAAAGGGGGCAUAGGUUGAAGACAUGAAGGAAAUCAGGACAAAAGUCUGCAGAACUGGCUGAGUUAUCAUCAGUAUCGCGCCGCGAGGUGUAGACAUCAUGCCCCUGAAUAAGCCGCGAUGCCCCCCAUGUCCAAAACCAACUCACAGCACUUUGCGUCCAAGCAGCGACCAAAAUGAACUCCCAAGUACUUUCCUCUACAGCCCGCAAAGGCAUAAACGCACCUGCGAAAGACACAGUCGCGCCAGCGAUCAUGUGUCUCGUGCCUGCGAUGGUGUUAUCUCUAUAUAAGUCAAGCUUGUUCUGUUUUGUGAUCAGCUCUUCCUAUUCCAAAGUUCGAGAGACAUUUCUGAGAGAGCGUUGUAGUGGGGUUAUUCUGUAUCCUUGUUUACUUGCUGAUUAAUUUGGUCUUUAGAUCUUUCAAGUCAUCAUCAAGAUUGUAAAAACAUCUAAACAUUUUGUGAGUAUUCCUUCUUGGUAGAUUCCAAGAUCUUGAGGUGUAAGCUCUAAUGGAUUCUAGAGCAUUCUUGUCGUGGACUUGACACCGUUGUUCUGGAUUUAAUAGUGGAGGCGAAUACCCACAAGACGAAGUACAAAAGUGGAGCUACUUGAAGGUCUCGAGCAAACUAGCAUGUCUGGAUUGGUUUUUGUAAGAAAUUUCUCAUACUACUCUCUUCAUAGUAAAUUAUUCUUGUGGCCGAGGGAUCGUGAUUUUUUAUCACACGUUGAUAGAUACCAACUGUGAUUUUUUCACGUAAAAA